GACGAACGCUGGCGGCGUGCUUAACACAUGCAAGUCGAACGGAAAGGCCCUGCUCUUGUGGGGUGCUCGAGUGGCGAACGGGUGAGUAACACGUGAGUAACCUGCCCUUGACUUUGGGAUAACUUCAGGAAACUGGGGCUAAUACCGGAUAGGAGCUCCUGCUGCAUGGUGGGGGUUGGAAAGUUUCGGCGGUUGGGGAUGGACUCGCGGCUUAUCAGCUUGUUGGUGGGGUAGUGGCUUACCAAGGCUUUGACGGGUAGCCGGCCUGAGAGGGUGACCGGCCACAUUGGGACUGCGGUAGGGCCCAGACUCCUACGGGAGGCAGCAGUGGGGAGUAUUGCGCAAUGGGCGGAAGCCUGAUGCAGCAACGCCGCGUGCGGGAUGACGGCCUUCGGGUUGUAGACCGCUUUCGCAUGUGACGAAGCGUGAGUGACGGUAAUGGGUAAAGAAGCACCGGCUAACUACGUG
rnacentral:rRNA from 1 species